rnacentral:rRNA from 1 species
AUGUCGUCGACGUCGUCCAAGCCGAAGAGAGCAGGUGGCCUCCAGGGCCCCAGGCCGCAGCCGCUGAGCCUGUCGACCCGGCCGUCCAAGAAGCCACGCGUUGGCGGCCACGCCGGAGCAGCCGGGCCUGUGAUCGUGUACGAGAUCACGCCGAGGGUCGUCCACGCCGACCCACACGAGUUCAUGGCCAUCGUGCAGAGGCUCACGGGCAAUUGCAAGCAGCGGCCGUUGACGGCAGCGACGACGUGGCCACCAGAGGCGACGUCCGGAGCUAGGGACGGCAGGGCAUCAACCUCGACGGCCGCGGACGCUUUGGUUCUCACGCUUAGCCAACAGCAGCGUGCGCCGUGUGGUGGUGAUCAUCCGGCACCUUCUUCCCCGGCUGCCGCAUCACCGCUGCUGUCACCCAGCAGCUUCUUCUUCUCCCCGACCACCAUGCAGGCGAUACGGGAGCUCAUCAGCUGA